UACGAGGGGGGCAAGCGUUGUUCGGAAUUCUUGGGCGUAAAGGGCGCGUAGGCGGCUUGGCAAGUGGAUGGUGAAAUCCCUCGGCUCAACCGAGGAACUGCCGUCCAAACUGCUUGGCUUGAGACCGGGAGAGGUGAGUGGAAUUCCCAGUGUAGCGGCGAAAUGCGUAGAUAUUGGGAGGAACACCAGUGGCGAAGGCGGCUCACUGGACCGGUACUGACGCUGAGGCGCGAAAGCGUGGGGAGCGAACAGG
rnacentral:rRNA from 1 species